UUAAGUGGGAAGAUAGGUCAGAAAGGACAAAAGAGGGCUCAGGGAAGAGCAGGAUGAAAGAUAAUGGAGGUCAGAGAUGCUGAAGCACAGCAUGGUCACAGGAAGUUUGAGCGUGGCUCAAGCGCUGAUUUAGUGGAGGGACUUUGGACAAUCCAGGAGAAACUGCCAGAAAUCUCCAGAGAGACACCAAGGGAGAUCACUCUAUACAAAAUAUAUGGGUACUUUUUCUAAUACAAGAUUAUUAUACAGCAGCCUCCUGCAGCUGCUGGAAGAGGCCCAGGGAGUAGGUCAGGGAGUCCCCUUGUGCUUCUUUGGGAAUAGAUUCGGCUCUAGAAGUCAGUGCAUCCAACUUGCAGAUCACAAGGACCAGUAUUAAGGAUGGAAAACCACCAGCAGAAGCUCCAUGCAAAGGAAAGGCAGCGUGGAAAAAACUAUUUGCAAAUCCAUAGUGAGACCAAGGUGGUUAACAGAGUAAAUGGUUACUUACCACA